rnacentral:rRNA from 1 species
GUGGGGAAUCUUCCGCAAUGGACGAAAGUCUGACGGAGCGACGCCGCGUGAGUGAAGAAGGCCUUCGGGUCGUAAAGCUCUGUCAUCAGGGACGAACGGCCGGUGGAGUGGAAAGCCACCGGAUUGACGGUACCUGAGAAGGAAGCCACGGCUAACUACGUGCCAGCAGCCGCGGUAAUACGUAGGUGGCAAGCGUUGUCCGGGAUUAUUGGGCGUAAAGCGCGCGCAGGUGGGAUCUUAAGUCCAUUUUGAAAGUUCGGAGCUCAACUCCGUGAUGGGAUGGAAACUGGGAUUCUUGAGUACCGGAGAGGAAAGCGGAAUUCCCCGUGUAGCGGUGAAAUGCGUAGAGAUUUGGAAGAACACCAGUGGCGAAGGCGACUUUCUGGACGAUGUCUGACGCUGAGGCGCGAAAGCUAGGGGAGCGAACGGGAUUAGAAACCCUGGUAGUCC